AAAUAUUUUUAUAUUCAUUUCCCUCUCACGCCGCUCACUGGAGAGCUUUAUCAAGUGCACAGUGGCAAUUCGGGUGAUUAAUCAAUUAUGAAAUUUGACACGUCAAUUUGGAUGAAAAUUCUAAAACAAUAUGGCCUAAAUCUAACAUGGGAUUUUUACCUAAUUUAGACACUAUUUUUAAAGAGGCUAAAGUUGGAGUUUUUUAUUUUGUUUGGUGCUGCUGACUGAGGAGCAGGCCAUGAUUGACAUCAACCACCUUAGCAGUGAACUAAAGUUCAUUGUUCGGCACAAGCCCAUGAUGAAGGAGGCAGGUCCACCAGAACAAGGCAAACUGGCCAUGAAUUGGACUCCUGUUCCAUCGGGACCUAAUCCACCCCAUUUUCUAAAUGAGAGUGGAUUGUGGUCCCAUCUCAUGAAGAUUAAUAAACCUCUGCCAAUAUGAGCCGAAUGACCCAACCCUAAUGAAGCCGGUCAGAUGCCCAGCCCAAUGUUCCUGAUAACAUUUUAAUUCAUUUUCAGCAACUUCUAGUGCCAAGAUAGAGAUGAAAUUCAAUUUUCAACAUAAAUGUAAGUAGAAUAAAUAAGAGACAAUGACCUACAACGGUAACUAAGUUCAAAUCAACGGGAUAUUAAGCGAGAGUAGAACAAAAUCUCCAAAUGCGGAAAAUACAGCUCACUCAUACAUGAAUGAUCUCAGCACCAUACAUAUAUUGCUACUACUAAUCAUAUCUCCAAAGUCCAAUGCAAGGCAGGUUCCAUGGUCGCCUAAUAAAAUAAAGAAGAAGCCCAUAAUAAAAGCAAGCCGGAAAAUCCUGUCCACGCCAUUCUGCUGCCAUCAUUUCCCGGCACUCCUGUACAAACAUUACAAUAAAUGCCAUGCCAUUUUUAAGUUAUCAUUCAAGAUCAACACGAAUCAUUUCAGAGAAAAAGGCAUGCCUAACACAUUAAACUUUAUCCCAGGAACACCAAAAGGGUCAUUCCAAUAACUAAAUAAUAUCCACUCAAUGUACCUUUUUUUUUUUUAAUAGAUGCAUCAUAAAUUACUAGCUUUUUUGGGUUUUGCAUGGCCCUGAGAAAUCAGAACUACAGACAAUUAUAUGGGGACAAAUGUUAACUGCCUUGGUUAAAAAUGUGUUUGUUGGCCAUCUAUUAUGAAAGUCAAAAAAAAUGUGGCACCGAAAGCAGCAAGGAGCCAAGGACAGGAGCACGCCAGGCAGGCAUCAUCCUGAACAUCUUUACAACCCUGAUAUUGCUUCAAUCAUGUUAGUUGUGUCGACCAAUAUUCGUAAACAUUUCACGGACAACGUUUGCUUCAAAAAUAAAAUAACAGCAGGAUUCAAGUAUACCUUCAUUUUACCAAUGCUUUUAGGAUCCAAAAACAAAUGGAACAAAAUGAAAUUGAUUCGAGAAAGAGCGUUCUUUUCAAGCCAUAGGAGCAAAAUUUUACCAGGGGGCGGUGGAACGGCAGCAUUCGGGGCGGUAGGCGACUCAGCUUUGUUGCAAGCAGUGAGAUCAGCGUUAACACCGCAUCGCUUGGUGAGCGCGAUGGCCUGACUGACAUUGACGUUAAUGCUUUGAAGCAAACCAGGAGUGUUGUAGAGGUUGCAAAGGCAGGAAAGAUCGUUUUUGAUGGCUUCUCUGAUGGAGCCACAGCAGGUCUCUGGAGGGGUGGUUGUGGUGUUGAGGUACUCGCCGCAUGGGAUUAGCUUCUGGGCACAAGAUGCGAUGUUCUGCGCUUGUGUUGUGGUUGUGCUGAUGCUCACAAGGAGGACGGCCACCAUCAUGACUACCGGGGACAUGGCUGUUGAGGAGGCCAUUUUCUUUUCCGUGAAGGAGGGACAGUGGUAGAGAAGUGGUAGGGGUACUUUGCACUGCCCUGUUGUUCUGUCCACUACUUAUUUAUCGCGGCAUAGAAAAGAGAAAAAUUAAAGGCCCCACGUGGCCGCGAUGGACG
rnacentral:misc_RNA from 1 species